rnacentral:misc_RNA from 1 species
GAUGGAUUUGAUCCCAACUAAUGAACCAAGCAUACAGUCACAAGAGCAGAUGAUUCCAAAACACCAAUAACUCUGCUGUUUCUAAUAAUCUUCGGUGGCUUAUAUUGACUAGCUGGUGCUCCAUUCUCCACUGCCAUUUGCAAUAUCCUAUCAAAGCUACCAGGCUUUACAAUAUAUACCAACAGAGGACCUAUUUCACCCCUAUCUCUCUGCACCUUGUAUAUACCUCCCAAACCCUUCUCAAGAGAGGAACAACACCACUUGAGAGACUCAACUGAUUCUUGCAAUUUCUCCUCCUGCANNNNNNNNNUUAACUUCUAAAAAAAUCUUCAAUUGCUUUGGACUCAAUUCCAAAUCCAAGAAACUUGCGAACUCCACAAUCUCUGCUGCAAUAGCAUUUCUCAUAACAAGC